rnacentral:rRNA from 1 species
AUUUAUAAAUAAUUUAAUAAUAUUCAUUUUAUUUAAAAUUUAUUUUAAAUAUUUGAUCCUUUCGUACUAAAAUAUUUUAUUUUUCUAAAGAUAGAAACCAACCUGGCUCACACCGGUUUGAACUCAGAUCAUGUAAGAUUUUAAUGAUCGAACAGAUCAAAAUUUUAAACUUUUGCAUUUAAAUUUUAUCUUAAUCCAACAUCGAGGUCGCAAACUUUUCUUUUUAUAUGAACUAAAAAAAAAAAUUACGCUGUUAUCCCUAAGGUAAUUUUUUCUUUCAAUCAAAAUUUUUGGCUCUUUUACUCACUUAUUUAUGUUGUACUAUUUAAAAAAAGUUUUUUUAGUUUUUCUAUCACCCCAACAAAAUAAUUAUUAUAAUUUCUAUUAAUCAUUUAUAUAAAAUUAUUUAUUAUAAAAAUUAUAAAACUCUAUAGGGUCUUCUCGUCUUUUAAAUUUAUUUUAACUUUUUAAAUAAAAAAUUAAAUUCUAUAAAUAAUAAAGAGACAGUUUAUAUCUCAUCCAAUCUUUCAUACAAGUCACCAAUUAAGAGACUAAUGAUUAUGCUACCUUUGUACAGUCAAAAUACUGCAGCCCUUUAAUUUUCAUCAGUGGGCAGAUUAGACUUUAAAUUAUUUUCAAAAAGACAUGUUUUUGAUAAACAAGUGAAUAUAAAUUUUUGCCGAAUUCCUUUUUAUUAAUUUUCAAAAAUUUUUAAUUUAUUUUACAUAUAAAUUUUAUAUACUAAUUUUAUCAUUAUAAUUAAAUUUGAUUAUUUUUAAUUUAUUUUAUUUUAUAAAAAAUUAAAUAUUUAAUUAAAUUUUUCUUACCAUAAAAUUAUUUAUAAAAAACUAAAAUUUAUUAACAAUUUAAAUUAUAAAAAUAUUAAUUUUUAAUUUAUUAUUAUAAUUAUUUAAUUUAAAGCUUAUCCCCUAAAUUAUUAAAUUUUAAUUAAAAGUUUUUAAAAAUUAAAAAACAUUUUAAAAAUUAAAAUUUAAAAUUAAAUUUUUUUCUAAAAAAACUAGAUAUAUUUAAAAACGAUUAACAUUUCAUUUCAAAUUAAUUAUUUAAAAUAUUUUUGCAACAAUAACUUUUAUAAUUAAUUAACUCUUUUAAAUUCGAGAAAAUUUUCCCUAAAAUUUUUUUUUAAUAAACUCUGAUACACAAGAUACAUUAAAUUAAAAUUACUUUUUAAAAAAUUUUUUUUAAAUUAUUUCAAAAUUCUUUCACAAUACUAUUAAACUAUAAAAUUUUAAAUUUUUUCUUUUAAAAUACUUUAACCCCCCAUUUAAAAUAUUUUAAUUUAAAAAUUUCUUUUUUUAGUUUUUAUUAUUAAUUUUUCCCCCU